GAUAGCUCAGUUGGUUAGAGCGUGGUGCUGAUAACACCAAGAUCACAGGUUUGAUCCCCAUAAGCGACA